CAGCUCACAGAGCUGAGGUUGUAGUAGAUACUGUACCCACAAAUCCUCCACAUGCUGAGCCCUCCCGCCAUAGUGGAGCCUUAUUCAUCCAGACUCUUAGAUACCCGGCUCCUGGAUCAUCAAAGGAGGCUGUGCCCAGCAUGUUAUGAAAUCCCACACAUAUCCAGGAUAUCAGUCAGACUCCUGGUGGAAGCCAGAGAGCACGUUCAGAUGUAUGCUCACGGAAAGGGGGCAUUCACAAGGUGAACAAUAAGAGAUCCUGGGACACUAAAACAGGAAUCACGACAACUACUAUCUCUGGUUAUCUCAGAGGGGCACAGAGAGCUUCCUGUCUCCUAGAGCUGUGACUGUGGAAGAAUCGGGACAGAGGCUACAUACAGCCAUCAUCAGAGAAACAUGGCCACUUCUAAACUAUGCACAACAAGGAGGCAGCGGGGGAAUAGCCACCACUCCUCUUCUUCCCCAGACUCGAACCAGCAUCUUCCCUCGGACCAGUCCCGAUCAGGCUCACAGCCAGGAGCCCAGAACUGGGUGGAACAAAAAAGGAAAUAGAGCCCAUUGUCAAGCUCCAUUUCAGAAAACUGAGAGACCAGAGGGAUUUGGAAACUCAAAAGCCAAAUACCCCCAGACAAUCGUCAGCCAAUCAGGGUCCUGG